AGAAAGAAAGAAAGAAAGAAAGUCUGAUUAAGAAUUUGUAAAGCCACACUCAGGUAGCCACAUGAAAAGGCUUAUCUAAGUGAAACUCACAUUACUAAGGCACUUGAUGAUAGCCAUAUAACAAGGCCAUUGAUGAUUUAUUUAUAGUCACCAUUACUUUGAUAAAACUGAAAACAGAAACCCAUAUUUCUGAUCAUGAAUUACCGAAGCAAAAACCUGCUCAAGGAUCAAACACUUCCAAAAAUUAAAGGAAUUGCUGUGCAUUGUGAAAUGGAAGAAAG
rnacentral:misc_RNA from 1 species